rnacentral:rRNA from 1 species
AUUGAACGCUGGCGGCAUGCCUUACACAUGCAAGUCGAACGGCGGCACGGGUGCUUGCACCUGGUGGCGAGUGGCGAACGGGUGAGUAAUACAUCGGAACGUACCUUAUCGUGGGGGAUAACGCAGCGAAAGCUGUGCUAAUACCGCAUACGCCCUGAGGGGGAAAGCGGGGGAUCGAAAGACCUCGCGCGAUUAGAGCGGCCGAUGCCUGAUUAGCUUGUUGGUGGGGGAAAAGCCCAUCAAGGCGACGAUCAGUAGCUGGUAUGAGAGGACGAUCAGUCAGCCUGGGCCUGAGAGACGGGCCGAACUCCUACGGGAGGGAGCAGUGGGGAAUUUUGGACCAUUGGGGAAACCCUGAUCCAGCAAUGCCGCGUGAGUGAAGAAGGCCUUCGGGUUGUAAAGCUCUUUUGUCAGGGAAGAAACACCGGCUCUAACACAGUCCGGGAAUGACGGUACCUGAAGAAUAAGCACCGGCUAACUACGUGCCAGCAGCCGCCGUAA